AGCUGGCUUUAUGAAUUGCUGCAGUCUAUUUGUUGCAGAUACACAUACACGCAAUAUUAAGUAGAGAGUUCCACGAUUUUGAUGAAGCAACACUGGAGGAAUGGUGAUGCAUUUCCAGGUUAAUGUGGCAAGAGGCUGGGAGGAGAACUUGUCGUAUUUCCAUGCAUCAGCUAUUUUUAUCUUUCUAGAUAGAAGAGUUCAUAGGUUUGGAAGGUGCUGUCAUGUUCAAACAUGCUAUGACACUCCUCUGAAUCAGAUGGGAUUUGAAAGCAGAACCUUCUGCCCCAGAGGAACGGACACCACGAAAUCCCAUUAAAGGGUCCCUUCUCAACAGUAUCUGCUUCCAAUAAAGUCAAUGCAACAAAUGCAGAAGCAAAAACAGAAGAAACAUGGACAUCAGCAGUUCAUGAAGACAGCUCACCACCACCUUCUCAAGUGCAGUUAUAGACUUGCAAUAGAUGGUGGCCUCGCCAGUGAUGUCCAUGUCCCAUAAAAACAUUUUUAAGUUAUUGUGAUUUUUAACCCAAUCAGAGGCUAAAUAUUCAAUCAAAAGAAGCUGUGAUUCCUCAGGAGGAAUUUGAAAUAAUUUUGGUGACUCACAGAUGUCUGGAUUCAUUGCUGCAAAGGUUCCAGGGAAAUGUUAUAGAUGUGUCUGGCAUUUAAUGUGCAUUUUGUAACGUAUUGAACUAGUUUGUUUGUUAAUUAAUGUUUGCCUCAUAACAAAUCUAAAGGUUAGAGUAUAAUAUAGAUCUUAUUGGAUAUUUGCCUUGUUAAUGAGUAUGCAUUGAAAUGUCUCCUGUUCUACAACAAUAGAAUCUUGUGCCUUUAUUCUCUUGGUAAAGUCUCUGGGGUUUCAAAUUUCAUCCAUUUUAGGAACGGUAGCAAAAAUUGGGAGUUUGUUCUGACACUCAAAGCAUUUUCUCUCAUAAAUCCAACAUUGCACAACAGCCAAAUAUUCCAUGCAAUGUUUUGAGCAUUAAUGAUCAUGUUUGCAAAUUAUCCCAGUCAUUAUAUUAGUUUGAAUAAUAGAUUUGACUAUAAUGCUAAGUUAUAGCAUAGCUAAUCCUUAAGUUCAUUUCAUGCUAUGGAACCUGUCAACAUAACUUAAGCAAAAUGUUAUUAACAUGUCUGAAUUUUAGAAUGCAAUAUGGCAUUAAUCUAUGAUUCAACUUCUGUAAAUGCUGUGGCAACUCAAAUGUCCUUUCUGUGAUUUUUUUUAUUUUUGCAGCU